AAGUCGUAACAAGGUUUCCGUAGGUGAACCUGCGGAAGGAUCAUUACAACGUUCCACGUAUAAACAAACGCGAACUUCCCUUUGGGUGGCGUAAGCCAGUCGCAGGCAGCUGCGUACUGGUGAAGACAGUGGUUGAACUCAGUUAUGUGCUCUCGAUCGAUGGAGUCGCAGCGGGCAGCCGUUGUGACUGAGGCACGAGUUCAUUGCCCGGGAAUAGUCCUUUGGAUAGUCCCACUUCAGAGCUCCCAAAGUGUAUUCAACCAUCGGUUCAAAUUGUACCCUUUUAUUAACCCUGUAAACUUUGAACUGAAACUUGCAACACUUGCAGCUAUCCUUGUUGGCUUCGGUCACGGAUGGUAGCGGUGCUUGCUAAUUGAUUAAUAAACUAAGAACAACUCUUAACAACGGAUAUCUUGGUUCUC
rnacentral:misc_RNA from 1 species